AUUGAACGCUGGCGGCAGGCCUAACACAUGCACGUCGAGCGGAGCGGCGGACGGGUGAGUAAUGCCUAGGAAUCUGCCUGGUCGUGGGGGAUUCCGUCCGGAAACGGGCGCUAAUACCGCAUACUAUCAGACGAGCCUAGGUCGGAUUAGCUAGUGGGUAGGGUAACGGCCUACCAAGGCGACGAUCCGUAACUGGUCUGAGAGGAUGAUCAGUCACACUGGAACUGAGACACGGUCCAGACUCCUACUGGAGACAGGAGGGGGGAAUAUUGGACAAUGGGCGAAAGCCGGGUCCAGCCAUGCCGCGUGUGUGAAGAAGGUCUUCGGAUUGUAAAGCACUUUAAGUUGGGAGGCGUUACCAUCAGGAUAAGCACCGGCUAACGUCGUGCCAGCAUCCGCGGUAAUAC
rnacentral:rRNA from 1 species